UACGUAGGGUGCAAGCGUUGUCCGGAAUUAUUGGGCGUAAAGAGCUCGUAGGCGGUCUGUCGCGUCGGAUGUGAAAAUCCAGGGCUUAACCCUGGACCUGCAUUCGAUACGGGCAGACUAGAGUUCGGUAGGGGAGACUGGAAUUCCUGGUGUAGCGGUGAAAUGCGCAGAUAUCAGGAGGAACACCGAUGGCGAAGGCAGGUCUCUGGGCCACUACUGACGCUGAGAAGCGAAAGCAUGGGGAGCGAACAGG
rnacentral:rRNA from 1 species